rnacentral:misc_RNA from 1 species
GAAGAAGCCCAACACACUUUCCUCCUCUAGUUAAAACUAUCUGAAAGGCUCUUCACUUCUAUCGAAAAGGUUUAACAUUAUUCUACCAUUGAAGUAAUCCCAAACCCAUUUGAUUCCCGUUGAUUAUCUCAAAGAUCGGCGGGUCCAUCACGGAUCAACCUUCUUCCUUAGUUCUAUUGCAGUGGGUUUGGGCAAGAGCUAAUAGUAUCUUUAAGAGUUCUCUUUAUCAUUACAUUUUACCUUUGAGAAUAUUCAUUUGAGAUCUAGUUAAAAAAACUCUUUGAUUCUUAUAUUAGAACUCUUAAAGUUGCAUUCCAUGACUGAUGUGUGGGAGUUGAUUUUUCUUUUUUUAGGGUUUUUACUAGUAGGUAGAUGUUUUGGCUUGUAAAUGUGGGAUAUCUAUAAAAUAUGCAUUUGUUAAUGGGUAG